UAUUAUUCGUCCUCAGUUGGUGCCAACUAGCAAUCUAGAUGGCUGAAAUGGGAAUCUGGUGCAAAUCCAGAACUGACGCGCAGCGGUAAUAGAGAACGAACGUUCAAGCAGACACUGCAUGAUUUAUGUGGGAAGUCGAGCAAGUAGGCGGUUAAAUCCGUGCUCUUAAGUCCGAAUACCAGCCAACAGCCGAGGUAUUCA
rnacentral:ncRNA from 2 species